UCGACAGUCAAGCGUGGAGGGCCGCCGAUGGUGCGCGUUUUACGAGUUUGCAUGCGAACCGAAUACAAUGUACGCGCGUGCGUUCGCGUUCACCGCGACGCAGGAAUCCGAGGACGUCGGGGUGCGUAGCACGUGAUCGUGCGUGGGUGCGUGAGUUCGUGCGUACGUCCGGGGCGCGGACUGCGCUUCACGGAUGACUUCGCGCCACGAACAUGGAGCCUCUUCGAGGUAUACUUUUCGAGUGCCGUUAAGGAUUAUCAUGAGCGUCGAUUAUGGAGAGAGUCACUAUUGUGUCCUAGAUCCGUGAUUCGAGAUAAAGAGAGAGAGAGAGAGAGAGAGAGAGAGAGAGAGAGAGAGAGAGAGAGA